rnacentral:misc_RNA from 1 species
UCCGAGUUGACCCCGGCAGUCUCCCAUGAGUCCCCACCAUUACGUGCUGGCAACAUGGAACAAGGGUUGCGCUCGUUGCGGGACUUAACCCAACAUCUCACGACACGAGCUGACGACAACCAUGCACCACCUGUACACCGCCCCCGAAGGGACCCCUCAUCUCUGAAGGUAAACGGUGUAUGUCAAGCCCUGGUAAGGUUCUUCGCGUUGCAUCGAAUUAAGCCGCAUGCUCCGCCGCUUGUGCGGGCCCCCGUCAAUUCCUUUGAGUUUUAGCCUUGCGGCCGUACUCCCCAGGCGGGGCGCUUAAUGCGUUAGCUACGGCACAGGAAACGUGAACCAUCCCCCACACCUAGCGCCCAACGUUUACAGCGUGGACUAC